GACGAACGCUGGCGGCGUGCUUAACACAUGCAAGUCGAACGGUGAAGCGCCUUCCUUUUUGGUGGGUGUGGAUGAGUGGCGAACUGGUGAGUAACACGUGAGUAACCUGCCCCCUUCUUCUGGAUAACCGCAUGAAAGUGUUGCUAAUACGGGAUAUUCUGGGUCUGUCGCAUGAUGGGUCUGGGAAAGAUUUUGUUUCGGUGGUGGAUGGUCUCGCGGCGUAUCAGCUUGUUGGUGGGGUGAUGGCCUACCAAGGCGGCGACGAGUAGCCGGCCUGAGGGGAGGGUAGGCGGCACUAGUGGGGAUGAGAGGCGGCCAAGACUCCGACAGGCAGCAGCAGGGGAGAAUAGUGAACAGUGGGCAGCAUGCUGGAGCAGCGACGCGUCGGGGGGGAUGGAGGCCUGCGGGUUGUGAACCUCUUUCGGCGGUGAAGCAGGGCUGCCUCGUGUGUGGGUGGGUUGACGGUAGCUGGAUAAGAAGCGCCGGCUAACUACGUG
rnacentral:rRNA from 1 species